ensembl:lncRNA
AAAAAUAAUUAGCUAUAGGAAAAGGUAGAAAAAAAUGUGAUUUAGUUGUUCUUUUUCCUCAAAGGUUAAGUGGAAUGAGUGAAUACCCUAGACCUUCUAAAAAAAUAUCAUUUAAGUAAAUUCACCUAAAUACAACAAUAGGAGCUCAGAUGCAUGGUGUUACUGCCUAACCAUUCCUUUGACAGUCCUUAAGCAGUUAAAUGUGACCUCUUAGACUGAAUAAUACAAUUCUAUAAUCAUGUCCACAGAGCAUAAACGACAGCAUGAUCAUGUUGCAUUUGAUACAAAAGCUUUCCAGUAAAAAACAAGAAGAAAGAAAACACCUUUACUCACAACAGCAAUGAAAUUAUUGUCCUUUGCUCAUGGUUCAUAAAUUCUGUGUGACAUUUUUUUAAAAAGUAAUCUGAAGAGUCAUUGUCAUUAUAUUACACUUUUGGCUUUACUGUCACUUCAAGAGUUAAACAAAAUGCACUAAAAUUUACACUUACUUUCAAUUUGCCCAAGAUGUAUAAUUCCAUUUAUAAUUUGAAAACAAAAUUUUAGAUAGAAAACAAUGGAUGCCUUUUGCUCUUUCCUGCAAUAGCUCAUAGUAUAAUCGCUUAAGAAACACUUUAGCAAAAACAACAAUUUAAAGACCUAUAUUAAAAUCAUGCCCUCCUAUCUCUGAAAUUGAAAAUAUGUUGUUUCCUUAUGUGAUUUUUUGAGGAUAAGAACAAUUGCCAACCAUUUGUUUUUUAGAUAUCCUGGGACAGUGGAGGCCCCAAACCAGUGAUGGUAUAUAUCCAUGGUGGCUCAUACAUGGAAGGCACUGGAAAUUUAUAUGAUGGGAGUGUCCUGGCAAGCUAUGGCAAUGUGAUUGUCAUCACGGUCAACUAUCGACUGGGGGUACUAGGUUUCACCUACUCUGCCGUAUUCCAUAUUCUUAUCGUAACUUCUUCAACUUGGAUACUUAUAUUGCCAAAUCCCAUACUUUGCCUGCUCCUCUUGGAUAGGAUCCUCAAAGUUAACUAAGCUGAGCCCAUUCAGUCUCCAUUAUCCCACAAGAAGAGACACGUGUUUGGACACCACUGUGAUCCACGUCUUCAAUCUCCCUCCAUGGGUGAGAAUUUCACAACUGACAUAGAAAUCGCUGGCUUAAACAGUGAAAAUAUGAGUUCCAAGAGACUUUGUAUGAGGAUAAGAAAAAUGUAAUAAUUCAGUUAUAAAUCAAUCAAAAUGCAUGGAGCAAGAUUUUAUAAUAAUUAUUUUUAUAUUAACUUGUUCCUCACAAGGUAGAAUAAUGUAAGAUUAUACUUAUUACUACACAUGAACUCUGAGUAUUCAAUGGCUACUACAUAUGUGUUUUAAGUUGCCAAGCCUCAGUCAAUUAUUUUCUUUAAGAGACUAUUCUCAUUCCUUUUUACUACUUGGAGGUAACCAUAAAAUAGGCACAGAAUAGUGUACUUUGUCUUGUAACUGGACUGAAUGAAAACAUGAUUGCAAUCAUAUGAAGCUUAUAACUAUUCUGUAAGCCCAGAAUAUUACAUCUAAAGAUGGCAUCAAGAGCCCUGAUUUUGCAAAGAUGUUUUCUGACUAUGUGCCAGAUACUGUUCUAACUAGUGAUCACAACAGAAUAUAAGACUCAGUACUUGUAUUCAAAAACUCACAGGAGGUAAACACAAAUAGAAUACUAUGCAUUUAGUGCUGCUUAUUUUUCUGUAAAAAUCUUUGGUUUUGUCACCUAACAACUUUGAUGGCUCACAGCAUUCUACGUAAUGUGAAUAUCAUGUGUAAAUGUCAAGAAAAGUUGAACAUAGCCGGGCCAGGAAUUUAGCUCAGUGGUGUCGCCACCUGCCUCACAAGCCAAGGACCCGAGUUUGAUCCCUGGUACCAAAAAAAAAAUAAAUAAAUAAAUAAACAACUGACUUGUAAGGUGGAGAGAUAAAGAAGGACGUUGUAUAACUCUAUUAGGUGUUUAUUCUGGGCACAAGAAAUCCCACUCCUGGGUAUUUCCAGGAGGCUGGAACUUCAGCAAUUCAGAUCUGCAACAAUUUAGGACACUGGUACUUAGAUCUAAGGAAAGGAGUUUGGAAUGGAAGGAAGAGGAUGGUUUAGCCAGAGAGCAUAUCAGACUUGACUAGAUGAAGAGAAUGAAAUAGAGGAAUGAAGGUUAAUAUGGCACAGACAGAUGGUGAGGCCUUAACAUUUGUCAUGUAGGUUUAUGCUGAAGACACAUUCAAUAUAUGCAUAGUAUUUUUAUAAUAUAUGCACAUGUUUCUUUAAAUUCUUUGCUAAGUCAAGCUCUCCUUCAUUGUAUUUACAUAUCUGCUUACUAGAAGGAACAGAAGACAGCCUCAGAUUAGGAAGAGGUGACUGAAAAUUGAGAAUUACCUGUUGGUGAGGCCAAGGCUACCUCAUCAAUGGAGGUUUCCUAGGUACAGCAUAGAGAAGAGAAGGUAUGAAUUACACUUGUGGGCCAGAGCAAUCAAGAGCCUCCUAAAACAAUGUAAUGAUUGCUGAAACCUGGGACAAUUUGUCUUCUGUUUUAAAGUCUCAGAUGAGAUUCAGUGUCAGUCUCAACCAAAUUCCUUGAAAUACUGUCAUAUAUUUCAGGGAGCUGUAAGGCGAUCUUCUAUUGCAUACUUUCAAAUCCUGAUGUGCCCUCUAGAAGUUGGCUUUAAAAACACUUGUAGUUUUUUUCCCCCUAGACUCAGAAGACUGUCUUUUUUUUCUUAAUUUCCAGCUAGCUGCAAAGUUUACUUUUUGAAGUACAGAUGUACUUUUGUAAGAAAUUUGAAGAACUGCAGUCUGACAGUACAAUUUAACCUUUAAGAACUUUGUAAUUGCAUUCAACUUACAUGGCUUUAGGAUGCUGAUUUUAUUUUAUUUUUUGAAAACACAACAAUCUGAGACUUUCAGUUUGCAUAUACAUUCCUGUAGGUUUCUUCAGGCACCACAUAUAGUUUCAUCUUGCAUGGCCUUUUAAAAAUAAAACCGACAUGAUGUAAAAUAUACCUUUCUUAUUUUUCUUUUCUUUUUUUGGUAUCGGGAAUGGAACUCGGGACCUUGCGCUUGUGACACAGGCAGUGGCACCACUGAGCUAAAUCCCUGGCUCAUCCUUUCUUAUUUUUCUCCUAUCUCCUUUUAUCUCUCACUUUUCCUCUUUUCCAUUUCAAUCCAAUAAAUAUUCAUUCUCAGGCUAAUCCUAUUUAAGGAAUCAUACUAGUCCUGGAAACAGGAAGAGAAUGAAAAACUAGCUCUGCAGUCCAGCGACUAGAAUCUAUUUCUUCUCUGAUUUUCUCUUUUUAAGGGACACCUUUUUUGCAUUUUCUUGCUAAUUUUCUUUGCCUUUUCCCAUUCUAAAUGUAAACCUUAAAUAUUUUUGGACAUGAAUGAGAAUAAAACUUUUUUGUUUAAUUGGUUUCAAGUAAGCAAGCACAAAUAAAUGGUGUCCAGGCCCACCGUAUAUUUUCAUCUUCAGUAGAGCCAGUGAAAGAGCAUGUGGAUGAGCUAUGUUUCAUUUCUUCUGCUAGACCACUUCCACAUUAUAGGAAAAUGCCUCUGAUCAGUUUUGACCCUAAAAAGGCACACUUGUAUUUAUGACUCUAUUUGGAAGUCAUUGAAGGCAUGGUGAUAAGAUCUGACAGAAAAUGUCAACAGAUAACAGAACCAAACUGAGCUCCUUUCAGAUAGGUGAGGGAAAAGCUCACCUCACCAGACCCUGACUACGCAAAGCUGGAGACGCUGUAGUGCUCCCAGGAGAAGGCUAUGCUGAGUUGGCUUUCCAAGCCCCAUAUGUUUCUGUAAUGGCUGCUUUUGCCAUCUUUGAGAGGUGAGGAUUCUCGUAGAACUUGGAAAGUUUCUUUGACAGAAUGUUAAGCCUCUGUGGCUCCUCUGCAGAGCAAGCUCUAUCUGCCUGAUGCAAAUACCUGCUAACAAAUUCAGCAUCUCUCUAUGUGCUUGCUGAUUUCUCUUUCCCAGAUGGACCAUCCUCAUAGUAGAAAGAGGCCUCAGGCCUGCCUGAAAUCCAACUUCUAUUAAUUUUCUACAGAUGAAGGAUACUGUGAUCUUAUUGUUCAUUUCUUUAUUCUUACUUUGUAUAGUGUGAAUUUACAACUUCAGCCUAAUUGUUUAAAGACUCUAGAGUAAGAAAAACCAAAGAUUUUUGUAACAACCUCCAACCCCAAUUUGUACUGCCUGCUUAGAGCAAUAUGUUAAGGAAGACUCUGAGGCUCCCAUUCUGGUUCAAUGAGAGAGAGCUCUGGCCCAUCAGGGAUACACUCCACACACAACAGAGGGGAAUAAUGGCAUGUGAUCCUGACAUUUCCCAUUCCUGAUAGAGCGCUAUCCUAAAUCUCUACAAGAGGGGAAGACAGACUUCUCAUGUGGCCCUCCCUUGGGCUUACAUCGGCCUGUUGGACUCUAGCAGUGAGUUAUAUUACCAGAUCUGCCAGGGACAAUGGAUGUGAUAAGAAAUACAUCACUUGGGGCAUUUCAAGCAAGCACAGAAAUGGUGGGUAAAAAUUACAGAAGACAAGGAUUCAGCACCACUUUCUCUAGCAAAUUUCCCCCUGUGAUUGUAAAGGAAGUCUCAGGGAAUAACCUUUUCUGGAAGCAAAAUGGAUGCCACUGACAUGGUAGAAUUUGUAGGGAUCUGAGAACUCUUGUCCUAACAGAAAAUAAAAAUCAUUAGCUUGUGAAUGAUCCUUGGAAUUUAAUCAUGGAGAGUAUGUUCUUUGUAGUCAAUUAAGGAAAUUAAGCUCUGCCAUGUAAGUAGAGUGUAGAAUUAAAAAACUACUGGAGUGAGAGCAGACAGAAGGGUCAUCAAUUCCAAUGCUAUGAUUUUCUAGUUGAGAAAACUGAGUCAUCUUAACCAAGUGAGUCUCUUUAUUUCUGAGGGGAAAGAAAACCAAUAUUUCAAUUGUUACAUCAAUUGUUUCAGAAGUUAGGAAACUGAAAGGUAGAGAGUAUGAAUAAUGUAUUCAAUAAUUACACCACUAGAUUAGUAGCACAGUCAGAACUUGAACAGUGCAACUUUGUCUGGGUCAUAAACCUGUAUGCUUUUUACACUUAGGUCAUAUUAUUCUAUGAUCACAUUUUUUAUGAUCUAAAUCAUCCGUUCUCUUCCCCAUCCAAUCACCUAUGAGAUAUCUUACUCUACUGAAAUCUGUGGACUUGACAAAGAUCUGAUAAACUAAUUUAUGACAUAUUAAUAUUUGAUAUGACUCAAUGCCAUAUAAUCUUUAUUGUCUAUCUCCAAUGUAAUGGUCUAUGGGGAUAUAGAAGAUAUCACCCUGACUUUAAAUUUCCAGAGUAUUACUAUACUGCCAGCUGUCUAGUCAACCUAUAAAUUUUAAAAACAAACUUGGGAUUCAUUAUAAUUACAUUUUCCAUCAUUUCCAUCAUGGAAGUGAAACAGACUAUUUCAAAUCUUCUUUUUCACCAAUAUAUAUUUCUUUCUUCUUCAUGUUUAGUAAAUAUGAAUAAUGUCCACCUUGGUAAGGUUCUCUUUGAUUAAUUAAUAACUCCUGAAAAAUGUUUUUCAAAACCUCAAAUAUAAAGAAAAUUGUGAAAUGUCUUCUACAGCUUCUGGCAUUUUUCCCUUUAGGAACAGUUGAGGGCUUUCCCAUCUGCUAUUCUAGUUAUCAUGAAAACCUAAUGAAAUAGAAUUGGUGGCAUGAAAUAUCUAUGUAUUAUUGCCUCUGGACAAGCUCACCAGGCAGGAAAGAUUCAAAACCCAGGAAGCCCAGAGCUCUAUUUCUUUAUAAAAGACAUGCAUCAUCAGCACUUCUCACAUCCCUUUCUGAAAGGAUAAAUGUAAGAGUUUUUGCCCAGAAAUUCCUUAUUAUUGGGUUGAAAUGUUAUGUCAGGUUGUUGCCCUCUUAUCCUGACACGUAUUUAAAAUAUGUAUAGCUACUUCAAAUUGGUGAAAAACAGUUUCUUCAUGGUAUUUCCAGAGUUCAGGAUGCUGCAGAGAAAUUUUUUAGAGUCAAGGACAAGUACCCUAUGUGCCCAUUUCAUCAGAUUUAUGUUUUCAGGCUGAGUCUUUUCUCUCUUUUUGUCUCAUGUAGAAGGUUGAGAGUGAUUGUGAAAGAAAAGAGUAUCAUAGAGAAGGUGUAUCUUAGUAUUGUUUUAAUUUUCUCUUUCACCUCCAACCUACUACAGAUAAAAGGAAAACAGUAAAAUUCCUAUAGAAAUAUUGACAAUUACAUUUUAGUUAAAUUUCUAAAAUUGGGGAAUAAAAGGGAUUUUUUGUAACUAGUAAGUUAUAAGAAAAUAUUUAAAUGAUAAUACCCCACUUGAUCAGAUUGCAAUGAAAACAUCAUAUGCAUCCAAUGGUUCUCAAUUCAGAAGUGUGCAUUAGAACCACCUGGGAAGGUUCUGCAACUUAUCAUUUCCUCCAUCCCAGCCUUCAAUGAUGGAGUUAAAAACAAGUCUUGAAAAUACUUAGCCUAAUAUGUUUAAAGAACUACACAAAAUGUUUGCAUUUCCAAGCCAUAAAUUCACUUGUGGUAAAUUAUCUUUAAAAAAUUCAAAAUAAGUAAAAAGCUACAUGAGAAGAGCUCAAAAGUAAUUUAUUAUACUUGAGAUUUUAAAAAGCCUGAAUAUUUAAUGGGCAUCAGUAAUUUAUAUCCUCAUAAUCUCACACCCAGCAAUAUAACACCACCUGCCUAUGCUGGUUUUGAAGCCUGCUUAGUGCAAAUCUGGCUCUAAAAUCAAGCAGGAUAUAACCUACUGGUGACAGAUAUGUGAGACUCUUGUGAGUCUGGCAAAGACAAGAACAAUUAGAAUUAAUGUCAUUAUUGAAAUUAUAUUUAGAAGAAAAAUAGACACUGCUUGUAAAUGACGACAAGGAAAUAGAAGGAAGUGAAAAUGAUUUGGCUUGUUGAGAUAGUAGGAUUGUGCAAUGACUAUUUUUCUUCUAUUUUGAAUUCUGUUAACAUAAUUUUAAGGUUGGCUGAAACAUUUUAGUGAGAGUUCUUGGCAGGUUAAAGACUUUUUUUACCUUUAUUAAUUUAUUUAAAGAGUAAAAUAUAAGAACAUCAAUGAGUAGCUUUAAACUCAAUGCCUCAAGUAUCACCAUUUAUUUGUCUUAAUGAUCACAAAAUAUCUGUUCCUACGAGUGGAAUGGGGAAAUGCAUUAUUCUUCCAUUACUGGCACAUACUUGUAUUAGAACAUCAUCUCCCAGGAUUAAUAUUAUCAUUUUUAGGAACUGACUAGCAUAUGCCUUUUAUUUUAUUAGCUGGUCACAAAGCCAAGUCCUUAUAAAUGGCCCAAGGCAAAUAAAAUUUGAUUAGAGGAAAUAGUUUUACUUAAGAUAAAGAAAAAUCCUAGAAAAUGGUUUUGAUAUAUGGAAGAGAAAAGCAAAGCAAACUUCAGUUUAACCCUGGAUUUGACUAUCAAGUAAGAGGCUGUUGAUAAACUGCUCAUGGGGGCUUACAUUGCAGUUCAUUCUUUGUCACAGAAUUUCUCAACAGAAGCAUCUCAUGUUCCAGACUGUUGUGAAACAAAAUUGAAAUUUUUUUAUGUGUGCGUUUCUGUGUGUGUGUGUGUCUGUGUGUCUGUGUGUCUGUCUGUAUGUGUGUGUUCUAUGCCAGGUACAGAUUGAUCCCAGAGAUCUUAGACUUUACAAUCUCAAAUCAAGACUCACUUAUUCAGUCUCCACUACAAUAUAUCCUGUUUACCUGAAUAUGCUAAUGGUUGCUAAUUAUUUACAGUGUUGUUUCAACUGCAGUGUUGACAUUUAAAUGUGGGUUCUUCAAGGAAUGUGUUCUCUGUAUCCAGCCUCCUUUCAAAAUAGCUUACAGUGAAGACUGGUAGGUCAAGGAGCAAGAGAUUUGUGAAACUAGGCCUGUUGGGGUUAUACCCUGAAGUCUUUGCAGCCUUGAUUCCAUGCACCUGAAACCAUUAGCUCAGGGUGCUCUGUUUCUUCUGUUCCUUCCUAAUAAUUGCUGGCAAACAUACCACUAGAUGAAGUGCUUCUGAAAUGCUAAUGGACACAUGAAUCACCUUGGUCCCUUGUAAAAUGCAGAUUCUGCAUUACUGGAGCAGAGAUGGGGCUUCAGAUUCUGUCUUUCUAACAGGCUUUUGGAUGAAGCUAGUUGGAUUGCUUAUCUAUGGGCUAUACUUUGAGGAGCAUGGGAAUGAGCUAACCUGUGAAAGACAUAGAAGAAAAUGCAAUCUUCUCUUUACAGCAGACUAGUUAUCAGUCUGCAUUACCAAUUCCGUAACCUGUCUGACAUUUUCAGUCUGAAAUUUUAACUUUUGAAAUUUCUUCCAUUUUAUUAUAUUCUAGCACGUUUACCUCUUCUUUUCUUAUAACACAGAAACAUAAAAUAGGAAUAAUAAAGUAGUAAUUCUUAAUAAAGUUUGUACCUUUAAUAUCCAUAUUAGUGGGGUUUUCAUUGCUGUAACAAAAUAACUGAGAAAAUAUUUAUUUUGUCUCAUGGUUCCACAGAAUUCAAUCUAUUGUUGCUUGAUUUGGUUGCUUUGGGCUUGUAGCAAGAGAGUAUAACUUGGCAGAAGCAUGUGAGAGAGGAAACCUGUUUACCUAGUGACCACUGGGAAGUGAAGGAUAGGGGAGUGGACCAGCAUCCCAACAGCUACUUCAAGGGUGUACCCCCACUGUACUUCCUUUUUCUAAUGCCCACUUUCUAAAAGUUCUACAGCCUCCCAACAGAGCCACAGGCUGGUGACCAAGCCUUUCAGUACUUGGCCUUUGGGAAACACGUUGAAACUCUUAAACCAUAACAAUAUACUUUGAUUUAGAUUUUAAAUAGUGAAUAAAAUUUACAUGCAACUUCAGCAUAUACAUUCUAUUGAACUUCUUAAGAUUACAAAAUUAGUAAACUUUCAUAAAUAGUAUAUAGUGCUCUCAGCUAAUGUGUACAUUAUAUAAAUCUUUAUGUGCUUGCUUGGGGAAAAGAAAAUUGAUGUACCAAAUAGAACUUCUAUUUGGAAUAAGAGACAUGAUUUUAAAUUGAGCAAUUUUAGUUUCACUAUUUUGGCAAUUUUCUAUUUUCUUCAAAUGUUUUUCCUCAUCUGUAAAAUGGGUACAAUAACAACUACAGGAGAUAUUGUACAUCGGAUAAGAAAAUUUAUAUGAAAAAUGUUUCAGAUUGAAAGCAAUCUGUAUAAUUGUUAAAUAUCAAUUACUCAUUGAUUUUUAUGUAGCUUGCCUGAAGUAAUAUAUUUCAUUGUAUUUCAUAACCAAUGUCUAUGAAUCUCCUUAAAUUUAAAUACAAGAGAAUAAUUUUUUUAAAACUUCCCAUUCACUAUAGUUAGAAAUAAAACAAUUUAUUAUAAUAUCCACAAAGAAUAUAUUAAGAAAGUAAUUGCCCAAACAAUAACAACACUAAUUUUUGAGAAAUAAUUAUUUAAGUUAUUACAAGCUUCAGUGAUUUUAUAGCUAACAUUUUUUCUCAACCUUUGCUAAAUCUAGUAGUUUAUCUCUAUUUUUAAGUGACAGUAAUAUGUAAGUAUCUGAAAGGUGAAAUAAAUCUAUAUUAAUCUUACAUAAAAUGGCUUCUAAAACAAUGAUCAAACUUUAUGAGAAUGCAAAAAUACUCUGUAAGGGUGUUAAUCACUGAGAAACACUGACACGUGUAUCUAAUGAGUCAAAAAUAUUAAUUUCCUUUUUCUCUCCUUCAAUAUAUGUAAAUGUUAGCAAGCCUGCUGAAAGGUUGAAUCAGAGAUUAGCUUAAAACUGUCAAGGAGAAUAUCAAAACGGCACCUUCUAGGGCAUGUAGGCAAACCAAAUACUUAGAGGAGACAGGCUAAUUUAUCAUAGUGCAGUUGCGAUGGAAACAGGGUUCUUGGUGCCAUGUGACCCAAAACAGUCUCUGUUGACUGGCUCGAACUGACUGUCAGUUCAGCAAAGGUUCCACUGUUUGCAGUGAAAAGGAAGAGAGAGCAUUGAUAGUUGUUGAAAAGGCAUAAUAAUAAUAGUGUAUCUCAAACCAUGAAAGCAUCCCUUUGUCUCCUUGACGUUUAUUUUCAUUCUGGCUAAAGAGAUCCCUCCAAUUUUUGUUAUACAAAGGCCCCUUAUUUAUUCACAAAUUAAAAAUGUGUUCCUCUAUUUACUAAGAACUCCAUCUAUGACAGUAGGGUUGCAAACAAAUAUUUAAAUCUUUCAUCAUCAUAAUAAUAUUUUAUUUACAAUGUGCUAAAUUUUGUACAGCAUUUUUCUAAUAUUUUUAUAAGAUCACAAGAAAUCUGGUUGCAUGAAAUAUGUGCCAGCAAUAAAAUUCCCUGCCUAUAAUUUUCUCAAUUAUUCAAAGAGGAGGCUGACGGUGUUUGCUUCUGAUCUGAAAGAGGAGGAGAUCUUUAGGGAAGGUAGACAAUAGGUUUUCACAUAAUUUUUCUUGUCUUCUUUUCACUGUUACUUUCAUUGAUGGGUAAGUAACAAGGGCUAUAGAGACAGUCACACUCUUUGAUUCAACAAUUCUACUCUCUGGAUUUUAUCUUGGGGAAAUUAUACUAAAGAAAUAGUUCUAUGACAUAGGGGAGAAAGAGUGGGAUUUGGAGACACACAGUUAUGAAUUUCAAAUGCUGGCUCUGCUACUUGCUUACUGAGUGCCCUUGGGGAAAUAUUUUACUUCUAGAUGCCUCAAGUUUCCCAAUUUGUAAAACAGAUUUGAGAGUGUCAACCCUGAACAAUGAUUGGGAGCCUUAUAAAUCAUGUGUGCUAAAGGCCUGAUAUAUGCCCCAUGUAUCCAACAGAGCUUUCUAUGUGAUACUUAGUGCAACAUCAUCUGUAAAGCAAAUAUCUUGCAAGUAAUCUAUAAGUCUAAGACUAGAAAUAUGAGUUGGGAAAUUCCACACCUGUAAAUGAGAUGUAUUGACAUCAUUAUGAUGUAGUUGCUUAAUACUUUGAUUCAAAAAUAUGAUUUAUGAGGGAAAUUAUUUGCUAUGGGAAAAUAACAGUAUUACAAAUAUUGGAAGUAAAAUUAUGGACUUCAUAAUAUGCAAAGAUUAUAUAAAAUAUACAUGUCUGUGAAGGUAUUUGCCUAAUAAAAAUAAUGUAGGUAAUAUGACUGCAUUUAAUUACUGUAUUAAUAUAGAACAGUGCCUUUUCCAUUAAACAAAAGAAAGAAAAGGGUGUGGACGUUGGCUUGAACAGCCUCAAGCAAAGGUCAACUACUAGAGUGAAUCUUUUAGCCCCCUCUUCCCUUUCUCUUAAAAUACCCUCUCACCCAAUGGACUUGAGAGCAGAGGCAAAGUGAACUCAGAAGCAGCUCUCUUAACACUUGUAUGCAUUUCUUUUAUGUCCCCUGAGUGGUGUUGCCUCAAGUAAGACAAAGCAAAGAAUCUAUAAGAGAGAAUUCAUGUGUGAAAGAGUUCCAGUUUAUACACCAAGUGGAGAGUGAAUUGAAGAAAAGCAGAAGAGUAUAAGCAAUUUGUGAGGUUGAUUAAAAGGCAUGGCUAACAUUUAGAAUCAAUUUUCAUUCAAAUUUAGGAUUUAGACCUUUAAACACCCUGGCGUAUGGGAACAUAUAACUCCAACUCAUGGUUUUUUUUUGGAUAGGGCAAAAAAUUCAUUCUGACCUGGAAAUAAUGACUGCAGGAGCUGAGAGACAUGAUUUUCUGGCAGAGAUUUUUGAAGUAGCAGUGGACAGUAGGUUUAGUGCUGACAGUUUAGGAAGGAGUGAGGAAGACCGAUAAGAAAGUAUUGACAGAGGCAGCCAGGUAAGUCUUGCAGUGAAUGCUGACAUGUUUUCCUCUCUCAAAAUUCUAACUACACCUGCUAGUGUCCAGGUACUGUUAUCUACUCUGGCAAGGAUAGGCCACAUUUCACCUCACGCCAAAAGUAUGUGAAGUAAAAGAACUCAGUAACAGCCAGAGAAAAAUGUUUCAUCCUUUAAUGCAUUAUACUUAUCUCAACCUCUCUGCUUCUAACCAUGAUGCAAUUCUUAAUUUACAUAAAUAGUCUCUGUUAAAUUUUAUUGUCAACUCCCUCAAAGCAGAAAAAAAAUACAUACUGAAAAAGAUUAAAAAUAUAGACUGAUACCCCAUCCUACUGAUCUUAGUGGAAAUUUUGUCUAAUCAUUGUCAGGGUCCCCUUUCUAAGGCCAAAUCAUAUGAUACUGUCAUUUUACUGCAAGGGAAAAAGCGUAUCCAUUCAAGUGUGGCUGUUGCCGUAUUCUCAUCAACAAACUAAAGUGGCCUGGUUAAGUCUGGUAGCUCUGUUCUUCCUUAUGACACAUGUGUGAAAUCUUUGGAAUGUGGUUCUGCCUCCAUAGGCACCUCAAGAGCCAUCUCUUUGAGUUUCCAUCACUCUGUUACAUGUGACUCACUUCUUGCUGUUUCAGCUACAGACAUUACCCUUCCCCCAAAUAUGUGGGGAAAUCAUAUUUUAAUCUGAGAGGUGCCUCUGCUCCACUUCAAGUCUUCCAUUCCCUUUGCUUGUCUUGCAAGGGGGUAGAAGUUUGUGAAACAAACACCAGCAAGACUUACAGGCUCUGCCUUAUACUUCCCCAGAGACAGUGAAGUAUGGGGACUACUGCAAUAUGGAAAUUGAAGAGUAGAAAAUACACAGGAUACACACUCACAUAGACACACACAUAUUAUAUGUAGCAUUGUACCUUCAUACCUUGUCUUUGUACUUUCAGUCUCCUUCCGUACUCUGGGAGAAGUACAAAAUAGAGAAGUGGUGAUUGGGUUGCUAUGUACAAGUGAAAGCACAGAGGGCGUGAGACAGAGGCAGGAAGAGACUAAAGCAAACAUGAAUUAAUGACAACACAGUCACCAGAAUGAGUGGAUUAACAAUUUGAGUUCUUAAUAUAAGCCCUAAACACUCAUGCUAGGUCAGCUCUAGAGACCAAUGUUUCUCAAGUUGAUAACUUUAAGAUUUAUUGGUUUUGAAUUUAACAGAGUGACAUACUUUGUGUGGUAACGUUUAUUAAAUGAUAUGCCACUGAUUUUUAUUUUGAAUGACAAAAUUUUGUGUCCUUUAAAAUAACCAUUGCAACUACUAAUAGCAUUAAUUUUGACUCUCUUUAAAAUGUUUUCACUUUCAACUUGACAUUGACCUACAUUUAGUUGCUUUGAGUGCUCUAUUAAUAAGGUGAAGAUCACAGGCAUGAAUUUUGCGGGGCCUGGCUAAUCUGACUGCAUUCCACAAGUAUAGAUUGUACUUCUAACCCCAGCCUGCCAAUUUUUAAAUGCAUUCUUCUAAUCUCAAGGCGUGUUUUGUAAAAGUAUGUGAACAAAUUAAUGGAAAUCUAUUUUCUAUUGGAAAAAAAUUCAUUUUAUGACAUAUCUCAAGAAUAACUAGCAACUUUGCAUAUGGAAGACAUGAUUAAUUAAUUCAUUUUCAAACAUAACUGUCUAUAGGGAUGUCAAGGUAAAACAAAUUCACAUUAAAAUAUCAUUUACUCUUGAUGGAUCAGUAGUCUUUAUCUGAAGACAGGAAAAUUAUUGCUAUUGAAUAAUAUCCAAUUGAGCUUUUCAAUCUUUUCCAAGAGCAUUCAAGGAGGAAAAAACAUUAUACCUUUCUACAAAGGGAUUCUUUAACUUAACAACCAAUCAAGGAACUUCUAGAAUUAUUUUCAUCAUUGGUUUUAUAAUCUAUUAAAAGUGAUCAGGUGAAGAAGGCUGAUUUCCUCAGUUAAGUCAUGCAGAUACUGUUGUGCAUUGUAGGAAAGCUGCUAGAAAUAGCUAUGGCAACCUGCACUUUUAGAAGCUGUCAUGUAGUUCUUCUUGUCAUCUGCUACUCCUCCAUUCAGAUUCAGGUUCUGAGUAGCCUUUUAGUUUUUUGUUUUUGUUUCUCAAGAAUCACGGUGCAUAUGUGUUUUUGUUUUUGUUUAUUUUUUCUGCCAAGGCCUAUGUACUUUUGUUUUCAGGUUAGCAGUACUCAAAUUCAAGCCUGUAGUAGAUAUUCUUACAUUUGUUUAUUUCUUUUUUGGAUUAUAAUGUCCUUUUUUUUUGUUUUGGCUGAGUCACGAUUUUGAAAGAAGGGCAGCAGGAUUUACAUCAUGGACGUUAAUAGAAAGCUCCACGCAGGCCUUGCCUCUUACAGUAUGAAUCAUCCUGUGCUUGUUUUACUCCUUCAAGUCUCAGUUUUCAUAUCUGUAAAAUUUAAGUGAUGAUUCACUUCCACUUAAUCUAAGGUUCCUUGUGUGAAUAAGAACAGAUAUACACAUUAAUCUAGAAGGUGUUAGCAUGCUAGCACACCGAAUUUAGUGUGAUUAUUAUUUGUUACUGUGGUCAUCACAUAUUGAGCAGCUUGAGCCUGUUGACCCUCAGCCACCCCACUAUUGCUGAGAAUAAUGAAUGACCCGUAAUGUUGUAUGGAGCUCAAAGCACAACUGAUCAAACACAUGCUGUAAAUAUUUUCAUUAUUCACUUGUUCAAUUAUUGAUCACUGUAAGACCAGUAAGAUUGGGGACAAGAAAAAAAUAUGCUCUAGCUUAAUCUAGGAUAGGCACAUAAUUGCAAUACAAUCUAAUUAUAUUUAGUUAUCAACUAAUUGCCUACAUGUAAAACUCUUUAUAAAUGUUAUCAUAAUAGUGACAUAAGAACUUUGUUAAAGCCAUAUGAUGAUUUUUGGUCAAUUUCAAUGGAAUGGCUUUUUAAUGAAAUUUUUACUUAUUAAAGUAUCUGAGGGGAUACACAUUUUAGGGAAGAAUAUGCAAAAUGUAUAACAAGUAGAGAUGAGUGCAUAUAAGUGCUUAAGUCUGACCAGACUGGAAUAUGCCUGUUCUAAACUAUUAAGACAUCCUAGUAUUGAGAAGUCGAGGAAACCCUGGCUCAUGGUGAGUAAUGAGGACAAAUAUGAAUGCUUUAAACAGCAUAGAUUUUUGAAAAUAAGAGAAAAUCAAAUUUUCUGGAUGUUUCCAGUGAUUGUACCAAAUUGUCAAAAGAAGUAGAGAGAAGAAAAUCAAAUUUGCUUUGCGUCAAUUUGGCUGUUGUUUGUUUUUUUAAGUAAAAUAAACUGAUUUCUAAAACUACUUAAGAAAGAAUGAUGUAUAAAAAAGAUAUCUAUUAUAUCAAAAAUAGUUCUAUCAAGAAACCUAAAUCAGUCUAAAAGGAAGCUCGACAAUUCACAUAACAGAAUACAAUGAUAAACUUAAAGAUCUAGUGUGAUAAAUCUGAUAUUGCUUCACUGUAUAAGGAGGAAAUUCAUGGAUGUGAUCACAGAGGAAUACUCUAAGAGUAAUUUCCUGGAUUUUGGAUUUAUGUUUUAUCAUGAUUAUUAGAUUAAAUCGUACCUAAAAUUAAAUUGACUAUAAUUAUAGACAAAUUUGAUAAAUCUUAAUUACUUCUUUUGUGAUAAUGAGAACAGUAAUGCAUAUAAAAUAUAGUUGCUGAUAGUUGCUGGAGCAGCACCAGAAAAAAUCAAUAUUCAUUAAAUCUUAGUUUAGUUUUAUUUUAAUUUUUCAAACAGAUAUUAAUAUUUGACUUUUUUCCAAUACUGGACUUUGAAUCCACUGCCUUUGCACUAAGCUAUGUUCCUAGCCCCCUCUUUAUAUUUUUUAUUUUGGAGUAGGAUCUCAUUAAGAGUCUAAGUUGCCAAGGCUAAGCUUGAAUUUGAGAUCCUUCUGCCUCACCUUCCAAGUGUGCAGGAAUUACAGGCACAUACCACCAUGCCCAGGUUCACUUUGUAAGAAAAAAGCAAGAUUAAAAUAUUUUGAAUACAAAAUCAGAUUUUCUGUAAAAUAUCAAAAGUAAACAUAUCAUUUUUACCUCAGAUAUUUUUCUAAGCCCUGACCAAAAUACAGAUCUGAGUACACUAGUGUUGAAGACUUGCAAGCCAAAAAUAAGGCAUGCAUUCUUCAGAAAUUGGCCAUCAGUAGACGUAGGGCUUGACUGUCUCCAUCUGACUGACAAACCUCAUAUCUAACAUAGAGCAUACUGUCUUCUGAAGUCAGCAAGGACAGGGUAGAAUUCUAAUAAGCCAACCUCUUCGUCUCACUGUGUCUGUGUAAGUGUGUGUGUGUGUGUGUGUGUGUGUGUGUGUCCUAUGUCAUAUCCCACUUUAUCUUUGGUGAAUGGCAUAUGAUUUUAAGUCAACAGAUUAUGAUUUAAAUCCUUUCACUUGUUUUUGGUUUGUCUGUUUUGCAGCUUAAAUUUAUAAAUUCAGUCCCUUAUCUUUAAAAUACAUUAUGAACACCUACCUUUCAUUCCAGAAUGUUAAACUAUAUGAGGUGGUAGGCUCUCCUGGUCUAUUCCUGUCUUCACUGACUGUAUCAGCUUCCCAAUGGUGCUGUAACAAUUUACCAGCUCUGAAAGUGAGAAGUCCUAAACCCAAUGUACGUCCUGGGUAGCAUUCAUUACUUGGGCUCUUGGUGGAGAUGUCCUGUCUUACCUUUUCUGUCUUUAGUCUUCUGAAGACUACCAGCAUUCCUUAGCUCAUGGCUUCUUCCAUCAGCCCGCAUCUCCAAAUCUUAUUUUCUCUCCCUUCAGUUAUUACCUCUCCUUCUCUCAUUUUCCCUGUUCCACUUCCCUGCAUUUGUUCUGCAGACUCUUGUGCUUACAUUGCCUGAUCCAGAAUAAUAUCAUCAUCUCAAGAUUCUUAACUUGUGAACAUCAGUAAAAUUUCUUCCACGAAGUAACAGUGACAUAUUCAUUAUUCUGUGGAUUGAAACAUGAACACUAUUUGGAAGCCAUUUUUUUGUCUACUGCAGAGGAUCUGCGCAGACAAGUUAUUUGUAUCCUCAAGACCAUAAUGAACACAUUAAGGGAAUGAUUCAAAUUUAACGUUCACAUUUUGUAAACAUGUUUUGAAGAGCAUAUAGAACCAGAAGUUUUUACUAGAUUUUUACCAUGUGAUAGAAUCUAUACAGUGUAAUUUACAUGAUUUUAUUAAACUGUAUGAGUAACACCCAUUUUAUUAGGUAGCUUGAUUUAUCUACACUUCGCAAGAGGAAACAAUACAAUUAAGACAAUUUGUCAAAGCCAUCCUACUAGAGGUAGAAUAAAGAAUCUGGAAUAAACCUGACCAAGUCAAAAGUCCACUUAACAGCUUCACUUUGGAUUCACUGGUGAAAGAAGAAGGAAGGAUCAGUAGGAGAAGACAUACCUGCUUCAGCCUCCCAGCCUCUGACAAUCAAAGCUUUUGUGCUCUUAGCUUGUUUUGAUAUAGAGAGAAAGAGAAGGGAAUAGGGGAAGAAAUGUUAAAAAUCACUGUCCCAGAACCUUAUAGCUAGCUAGCUGACAAAUACAUAAACAAGUUUAAAAUUAGAAGCCGAUUGUCUCCAAUAUUGAAUUCUAAAUUCAAGGAACACAAUAUAAAACUGAAUUGGAAAGCAGCUGACGUGUUUCAAUUUCAAGGUCUUUUGUUGACUCACUUUUCCAACUUACUUUUUAAGAUGCCUUUAAAUUUUGAGAAUUUAAAUGAGUUGAAUCCUCCAAAGCGUCUUGAAAUUCUAGUGGAGUUCACAGCAAUAGAUUUCAUUUCAAUUUGAUAUUUAAUGUAUAUACAAAAGAAAAUAAUGCAGUUGACUCUGGUAAACUUGUUUUAGAUGCAGUAAUUUUUUUCAUGUUCAAAUUCACUUGAUCACAAGAAUGCAUUUAGAGAAAUCAGAAUGGAUUUGUUUAAUUUGUCUAAAGCUUCAUUUCUUUUGUUUUGAAUGUGAUCGAAUCUCAUUUAUUUUACACUAGGAAAAUAAUCAUUUCUCAACUCAAAUUUAAUUGAACUUACAAAUAUGAAUUCUCACUUUACUUAAGAGAUUAUCAAGACAUUUUCCCAACAGAAUUGUAUUAUGCUUACAGAAGGAAGCAAUUAAAAUGUAUGUGUGCUGUGACCUGUCCUAAAUCAUACAGAGAAUGAGUGUCAAAACUAGAAAACGGAAUUGAACACUUGGCAACUGGUGUGUAUUUUUCUCAGGAUGUUCUUUCUUUUGUAUAUAACAACUUUGAUACUACAAUUAUCAGAAAUUGACAUUGGGAAGAAUUAAAUGAUGCUCAUCACUGCUAAAUGUAUUACUUGAGAUUAUUUGAAUCACUUGAUUGACUGAAACAGAGCCAUACCCUGUAGGGCAGGCCUGUACCUACUUGCUACUCAUUUUCUAAGGAGAAUAUUUUCCCCAUGCCAUUCUGAAUAUAUUAUAUUAAUAGUGGCAGAAGCCCCAAAAGCAGGGUCUGAACAGAUAUGUCCUUUUUUUUUUCUGGUACUGAGGAUUAAAUACAGGGCCCUUUCACUGAGCUACAUUUCCAACCCUUUUCAUUUUAAGAUAAGAUUUCCCUAAAUCACUUAGUUGUCCACACUGGGCUCAAGCUUGUGAUCCUCCUGUCUCAGCCUCCCCGUGUGCUGGAAUAUAAGCCUGCAACACCAGGUCCUCUUGCUACACAUUCAGAUUCUUAUCCAGCAUCUUUCAGUAAAGGUGGUGGUCUUCCUUAAUUAUUUGCUAAAUUUAUUGCUUAAUAUUUUAAUACAUUAUGUUUUUUUAAAAAAGAGCUACAUCGAUCCAGGUGCUAAUACAACCAGAAAUCUUUAGAAAGAAAUGUAGAGAUAGAUUUUCUUUCUGAAUUAGAAUAAAGAUCAAAUUGUAUAAAGAACUAAAUAUUUGACUCUUCUGUCUUUGUUCAAUGUUCAUUAACCAAAUUCCCUUGAACUUCAAAUAGAAAGAACAGGCAAAUAUAUGUAUUUGUCAGUAUACUAAUGUGAGAGAAAAAUGUGAAUGUAUUUAAGCAAUAUACUUUUACCUCCGUGUUUACUACAAGACAAAAAAAUUGAAGAGAACCAUUUAAGAGAACUUGGUUUUUUACAAAAGAACUUGUUUUUUUCUUUUUUAAAGAGAACUUGUUUUCUUCAAUGAUUACUGAAUGGCCAUAGGUUUGAGGAAAUUGUUCCCUGAAAAAUUGUGAUAGUGGUAGAUAGUUUUUUAGGAAUUGGGAAUGCAGGGAAAUUAGGCAUAUGUUUAUGAAAGGUGUGUGGGGUAACUCAAUAAUGAAGCAAUUAUUUCAAUUAUAAUUUUGUAUUUAAAAGAAAAACAAAGAAACUUUGACUUGGUAAUGUACUAAAGAAAUAUAUAUCAAUUGACAAGUAAAUCUAAAUUACAUGUAAGUGUUUUAGUCUCCAUCUGAGAAAAAUAAAACCAAGUGUCUGAACUCUUCCUAUACUACAAAGAAUAUAAUUAAGCUAAAAUCAUUUUAAAUACCCAAAUAAAAUUAUAUUUUGAUGAAAACUUCUAGGUAGCUGAUCAACUUGGUGAUCAGUGGGCUAAUAUAUAUGUACCAAAAGCCAAUGAACCAGAAGUCACAAACUUGAGAGCCAUAGACCCAUGUUUAUAUCAUCAACAUACAGCCUGUUCCACACCACUUCCAUACUUCCUGAGUCACAAACGCACCCAAAAUAUCAUGGUUUAAAGCAAUUUAGCUUUGAGCUCAUUUCUGCUUUUAUUGUCAACUGGGCCUAAGUAGAUUGCCCUCACUUAGGUGUCUUGCGAUUUCAGUUAUAUGGCAUCUGCUUCAUCUUGUUUCAAGCCUUUACUGGGUUUAACAAACAAAAUGCCUUUUUAACUCACAUGCUGUCUCUGUGUUCCUCUAUGAAACCAUGUUUUGCAGACAGGUAGCCCAGAAUUCUCAAUAAAAAUGAGAAAGCAUCGUAUUAGUUAUCUUCAGGUCACUUAUGUAAUUUGUGAAGCCCAGUGCAAAAGAAAAGUUUGGGGCCAAGUCCUGCAAAAUUAUUAAAAAUGUCAAGACAGUGAGACUCUGGCAUUAAACUAAGCUCAAGGCCCCUCUAAGCAUGCCUGUGCAGUUGGCUGUGGCUUUGCUAUAAGACAUGUCUACUGUCAACAUAAUGUCACCUGUGCCAAUGCUCCUUGGCAGAGUGGUAUGUGUGUGUAAGGUACAAGGAAUCCAUGGUAGCCGUCUUGAAGUUAAGCUACCAAUGUAUGUUAAAAAUUGACUGAGUUAAUGGCCAAUAUUGAAAAGGUGGCAGAUUUUGCACUAAAAAACAUUGCACAUUUCUGUCUUCCCUUGAACAACAUGAAGUGUGGCAACAUUAACCUGUCUUGGACUAGUAGCUAACUUUCAUCAGAAUAGAUACCCCAGAUCCCUUCAUGUAGCCAAACAUAAUGUUGCCCAAGGGUUAGCAUCUUGGCCAUCACAGGAAUUUGGGUUUGUUGUGCUAUCUGCAUAAAGCAGUGUCUUUUGAAAAAUGUUAUCAUUUUCAUAACUAUUGAAUAGAAUUAGGUAUGCAGUAUCCUAAAUUUUAUAUAUUUUAAAUUUUCAUUUUGUGCAGUUGUCACUUUCCUUUUGAUUUCUCACUGUAUUCCUUUUAAGAUAAACUAUGAGUAUUUAAAUUUAGUAAAAAAUAAUAUGAUUUACUUUAACAAAAAUGAAAAAAAAUACAAAGCUGUAUUUUAUAGCAAUGGCUUAUUCAUAUUUACUUUCACAUAAUAUACCCUAUCAUGGUGGCAUAUAUAUUUUUAAUCUAAUUAUUUUAAUUAUGGUUGGUUUUGUUUAUGGAUAUUACCCCUUUACAACAUAACAAAAAGGCAAAUGAACAAGAAAAAAUUCUUUCCAGUAAAUAUCUUACAAGUCAUAUUCUACAGAUUUUCAGAGCUGUUUCAGGUAGUCAGGUAUUUAAGAGAAACAAGGACUUGCAUAAGUGAAAUCUAAUAUCACAAAAUUAAUCUCUUUCAGUGCUAAGAGUAAUUUCCAAAGAUUUCUUAUCAUAAUUAUAGAAGCACUUUCAUUCACUAUAUUCUGUAAUGUUCUUCAUGUAUGUAAUAGUACUUUCAAAAUAAAAAUGCUAUAUAAAUGUUAAAGAUCUAUAUGUAUUUCUCUAACAACUCUGAAAUCAUAAUUAC